UACAGGGGGUGCAAACGUUGCUCGGAAUUAUUGGGCGUAAAGAGCUCGUAGGCGGUUUGUCGCGUCUGCUGUGAAAUCCCGAGGCUCAACCUCGGGCCUGCAGUGGGUACGGGCAGACUGGAGUGCGGUAGGGGAGAAUGGAAUUCCUGGUGUAGCGGUGGAAUGCGCAGAUAUCAGGAGGAACACCGAUGGCGAAGGCAGUUCUCUGGGCCGUAACUGACGCUGAGGAGCGAAAGCGUGGGGAGCGAACAGG
rnacentral:rRNA from 1 species